GAUGAACGCUGACAGAAUGCUUAACACAUGCAAGUCAACUUGAACUUCGGUUUGGGUGGCGGACGGGUGAGUAACGCGUAAAGAACUUGCCUCACAGAUAGGGACAACAUUUGGAAACGAAUGCUAAUACCUGAUAUUAUGAUUAUAUGGCAUCGUAUAAUUAUGAAAGCUAUAUGCGCUGUGAGAGAGCUUUGCGUCCCAUUAGCUAGUUGGAGAGGUAACGGCUCACCAAGGCGAUGAUGGGUAGCCGGCCUGAGAGGGUGAUCGGCCACAAGGGGACUGAGACACGGCCCUUACGCCUACGGGAGGCAACAGUGGGGAAUAUUGGACAAUGGACCAAGAGUCUGAUCCAGCAAUUCUGUGUGCACGAUGAAGUUUUUCGGAAUGUAAAGUGCUUUCAGUUGGGAAGAAAAAAAUGACGGUACCAACAGAAGAAGUGACGGCUAAAUACGUG
rnacentral:rRNA from 1 species